GGUCCUGUAGCUCAGUGUAUAGAGCAGGAAUCUUCUAAAUUCCGGGUCGUGAGUUAGAUUCUCACCAGGACCA
rnacentral:tRNA from 2 species